GAUUCAUUUCCGUCACAGAACACCAGCAGCUCUUCCACUUCCUUUUCUUCUAACUCUGCCCAGCCAAGCAAUUCCCGGAAUUUGGUUGAUCCAAAGAGCAGUGGAAGCAAAGACACACAGCCUCGGAAGGCUUCCGGAAAAUCUAGAAAGUGAAAUCCUUAAAUCAUCUGCUUGCUGAACGAGGCAAAACCAAGACCACUGGAGACAAUGUGAUUGGUGGAUAGAAGUUGAUGCAAUGGCUGCUGGAACUUUGGAUUUUAUUAUUAUUAUUUAUUUUGUAAAGAAAUGGAAAGGGACAUAAUGGCAGCUGAUGUUAAACUUUCCAUAUUUAAACUAGAUUCCCUAAGAGUUAUACCAUGUAUUUCUUGAAUAAUGUGGUGGCAGAAUUCCAAAGUUAUAGUGCAGUACAAUGGAAAACAACUUUUUAGGUAUGUGCUUUACUGCUGCAGAAGAGAGCAGUUCACAUUUAUUUUCAACAGGCACUUACAGGGAAUGUCUAAAACUGCCUUAUUUGUGUAGGAAAAUCAUUUAUUAUUCUAGAGCCUUGGCAUUUAAAAAUCAUAAGAAAUUCCAAAUCAAUCCAAAUUGCCCCUGUGGCUGAUCACAUGGGGCAGAGGAGGGUAAUGAGGGCCUUGCCUUUGCUUGCAAAUCUCCAGGCCCAAUAGAAAAGUCCCACCGAGACCCUACAAACAACUGUCCACAGCCUCGUCAGUCCUGUGAUCGCAAUGACAGUAUGUUGGACCUAGACCUUCUGGCAUUUAAAUUUGGCAAUGAAAAUUCUAUGAAGAUUUUGGAGAACUUUUGGUUACAGCUACCUUGAAACUAAUAGUUUGAUGAUUUCCUUUAUUUCCUGGAAGACUUUUAUUUUAUAAAUACAGUGUUUACAUGUUAGAUGGUAUUUGUCCUUAGUUAACUUAAAAUGAUGAAUCUAGUUCGAAUCACCUGGUAUUCCAAACUAUCAUGCUGAAGCUAUGUCAACAGCCUUUUCAUUUGUACUAACGCUAAUCUCUCCAGCAAAAUCCACCUGCAAAAUACAAAACAGUUCUUAAUUUUCCAAUGUCAGUUCUUGAGGUCUACUAUCUGAAGAAGCUAUUGCCAGCUUCUCUAUUUCAAAAUGCAAUCAGCAUAUAACUAUAUUGAUAUGAGAAAAUAUGUUUUUUAAAAAGGUAUAUUGAUGUCCGAUAAAGAUGAUCUAAUUUGUGAAUGCA